rnacentral:piRNA from 1 species
UGAGUGAGUAACACUAAGAGGUGGAUC